rnacentral:tRNA from 1 species
GGCGGCGUAGCUCAGUGGUUAGAGCGGCGGACUCAUAACCCGCAGGUCGGUGGUUCAAAUCCACCCGCCGCUA